CGCAUUGGGUGUGUAGUCCCGGCAGUCGCGGACAUCUUGUGCAACUCCGCGGGAGCGAGCAGAUAGCAGUAGAGGGACGGCGCGCCGGCAGCAGCGUUGGCUAGUCCUCAUUUGGACCGGAGGAAGACUGUUUGAAAAAGGCAGAAAUACAUAUAAGGGAGCUUGUCUGGACAUCUAGUUUUAUACGUCUUCGUUGUUCUUACGGUCGCCGUCUGUUGAGGGGGAUAAACACGACGUUUAGUUAUCUUGUUUUUAAGCGAUUUAGCUCGCUAGCUCUCCUGAAAGCCACACACGGAGAAGGAAUGGCGCUGAAACGAAUCCACAAGGAGCUGAACGACUUGGCACGCGACCCCCCCGCACAGUGUUCCGCAGGCCCUGUCGGAGAUGAUAUGUUUCACUGGCAGGCAACAAUCAUGGGACCUAAUGACAGUCCAUACCAGGGUGGUGUUUUCUUUUUGACUAUUCACUUCCCCACAGACUACCCCUUCAAACCCCCUAAGGUGGCAUUUACCACAAGAAUUUAUCAUCCAAACAUUAACAGUAAUGGCAGUAUCUGCCUUGAUAUAUUAAGAUCACAAUGGUCUCCAGCACUAACUAUUUCUAAAGUUCUUUUGUCCAUUUGUUCACUGCUGUGUGAUCCAAACCCAGAUGACCCUCUAGUGCCAGAGAUUGCACGCAUCUACAAGACAGAUAACGAAAACUGGGAGAGUACAGUCGGAAACUGAGCAGGGAGCAGGAGUGAGAGGAGAAGCAGCAGUGAAGAGAGAGAAGAGCAGACACGGGGAAAAGGAGUGAGAGCAGCUGGUACAACAGAAUAGCGCGGGAAUGGACUCAGAAGUAUGCAAUGUGAUGCUGCUCUGUGGACAUCUGAAAACUGAACACAUUAGCUGGAAUAAACUUUAAAUUACUGGUUUCCUUUCAGUUAUUUGGCUGCUGUCCUGUUCCAGACCUUUUUUUUUUUAAACCCCCCCCCCACCCCCCUUCUCUUUUCGUGCCCCUUCAUUGUCACACGCUCUUACAAGGACUCUGGCUUGGACAAGACCAUCUUGCCUUGAGUUUUUCAAAUGUAGAUCUCAUUAAAAGUGCCCACGUUGGUGAGCUCAUCAUGGAGUGCGUGUCAAUGCCGACAUAUCCUUAUAGCCGCUUGGUUAUGAGACAUAAACGAAGCCCCAGCACUACUGCGUGCUGAAGAUGCCAACACCGUCAAGGAUGCCCCAUUUGCUGCCAGCUCUCCCUUCAGGAUCACCUCAUUGCUGGGAUGGCAUCCAUGUUUUUCACAGCUUUUUCUAAUAGCGUUAGAAAAAAUGUAUUUUAUGCUCGUAACCGGCAAUGUGGAUGGCUAACUUCUGCAGAGUGUAAAGCAGCAGCUGGUUGGAAGGCAUAAGGUUAUAACUCUGUAUUUUAUGCAUGUUGAUAAAGAGAUAACCGAUUUAUGUUCUGCCGAUGAUGGAGUUGUGGGGGUGGGUGGGAGGUUGAAUACAUCAGUUCCCCUGGAGUUUCUUUUGUGUAAUUUCAUUUGUGUUUUCCCCUUGUUUUUAGAAAUCGGGAGCUAUUAGUUAAUCAAUCUCCCAUAACUUUUUUUUUCUUGUAGCACUGAAAGACUCAAGGCUCUGAGGAUGAUUGAUUGGCUAAUGGCUCUGCUAGAUUAUUUUAAAAUAGUUUUUUCCCCUCUCUCCCCCUCAAUAAAGUUGUAUAAACCGCUA